UGAUUACUUAAGAAAUUCGGUUUAUUGUUUAUUUCUAAUGCUUUUUAGUUUGAAUUUUUGUUAAGAUGGAAAAUGAAGUAGGGAUGUUUUUGGUGAAAUGCUUUAUUUCGUAAACUAGGAUAUUAUCAACAUUAGAACACAAUAAUUUCUUGACUUGGCUACCAUAGGAAGACACACUUGUUGCAGCCUAUCUGAUUAGAUCAGGGAUGCUCAAAAAAUUUUAAAGGAAUGAAUCCAAUUGGCUUACAUAGUUUUUCUAUAAAUUUCUUCUGGAUGUGAGCUGUGAAUGAAAAACAUCAGAAUCAAUUAUGAAGUACAGUUAAUGGAUAAAAUGCCAGUAAAUGAAAUUUUUAGAAAAUUACUUAGAAAUAAAUUGAAUCCCCAAAGAGGUUAAAUCAGGAUAUCAGGGAUGAUGUAAGAGUUCAGCUUUUCCUGUUGGUACCAUUAAAUGAAAAAAUGAUUAAGUAAGUGGAAUCCAUACAAGGGAAUUUGGGGAUAAUUGGAUUCACCAGCCGUUGACAUUCAUUCAUGGAUGUAGCAACAGAAAGGAAAAUAACUACAGAUUUAAUAGUACACAAAUAAUUUGUGACAAGAUGGUUGGCAUGAUCAUCAAUAUAAAACCCUAUCCAGGUCUGUAUUGGUGAUUCUAGCAUUUCUUUACAGCUGGUGAUGGUCAGUGUGUUCGAACGUACAAAGAGUCAAUCAAAUUUUGUACAUUCGUAUACAUUUCGGUAGAUAAGUUAAAAUGGGUAACGGAAAACUGAAUGUAUAUUUUAUAUUUAUGACAAUUUGUUAUUAAAGCAUUUUUAAUCACUA
rnacentral:lncRNA from 1 species